UACGUAGGCAGCAAACGUUGUUCGGAGUUACUGGGCGUAAAGAGUACGUAGGCGGUUUGCCAAGUUUGGUGUGAAAUCUCCUGGCUUAACUGGGAGGGUGCGCCGAAUACUGGCAGGCUAGAGUGUUGGAGAGGGGAGCGGAAUUCCUGGUGUAGCGGUGAAAUGCGUAGAUAUCAGGAGGAACACCGGUGGUGUAGACGGCUCCCUGGACAACCACUGACGCUGAGGUACGAAAGCGUGGGUAGCAAACAGG
rnacentral:rRNA from 1 species